CCUUCCCUUCCUCUCAUUUCUUCUCAUCUCUCUCUCUCUUAAUCUCUUACAAAACACACACACACACACGCACAUUUUUCUCUCUCUCUAAGUUAAUUCACAAUCUAUGGUAAUUCAAGCUUAGUUAAUGCAAUAAUAAUAAAUCUUAUCAUCAUUUUAACAUCAUAUCAAGAACUUGGGUUCCAAAGUGCAAGGAAACAUCUCAUUCGGGUUAAAUUUCAGGUUUGAGAGCUUGGUGGAGAUUUUGGUGACACACACGAAGUGAUUGUUGGACGUUUAUAGUUUGACUUUAACUUGUUGUAACCGCUCAAGGAAAUUAGGUGAAUCAAGGACGUGAUGCAUGAUUGUUGGAUAGUUUUUGACUCGGGCAUGGACUUACGUGGAUCAAGGAUUCAUUCGCCCACUUUUGCCUAAUACUUAGGAUCGAUAGCCAUCUCUAGAAUAUUCUUUUGUAAAC